UGCUGACAAAACCCUCUGGCUGACUCAUGUAAACAUCUUCAGCCAACUUUCCAUUAAGGAAAGCGGUUUUGACAUCCAUCUGCCAUAUUUCAUAGUCAUGAAAUGCAGCUAUGGCUAACAGAACCCGAAUAGAGUUAAUCUUCGCUACUGGAGAAAAGGUCUCAUCAUAGUCCGCUCCAGGAAUUUAAGAGAAUCCCUUUGCAACCAGUCUAGCCUUAUAAGUGUGUACUUUACCAUCCAUGUCGGUCUUCUUCUUGAAGACCCAUUUGCACCCUACUGUCUUACGACCUGGUACAUUCUCAACCAAGUUCCAAACUUGAUUGUCAUACAUGGACUGUAUUUCGUUGUCCAUUGCCUCUUUCCACUUGGCUGACUCAGGGCCUGCCAUGGCUUCCGCGUAACUGUUAGGUUCAUCCAGACCUAUCAGUGUCUCAUCACUGAUAAGUGUAUCUCCUUCUGCAGUAAUAUGGAAUCCAUAGUAAUGCUCAGGAGCAUUCCUAACCCUUGUGGAACGCCUCAGAGGUACAGACUUGUCAAUUGGCUCAACAGGAGUUUCCUCCUCAAGUUGAGUGCUAGGGUUUGAAGUUCCUUCACCGCUUGACUCUUGAAUUUCUUCAAGAUCAACUUGCCUCCCACUGUUUCCUUGGCUUAUGAACUCUCUCUCUCUCUCUAUAGAAAGCCCUCCUAGCUACAAAGACCACAUUUUCACUAGGUCUGUAGAAGAGGUAACCAAAGGAUUGCUGUGGGUAGCCGAUGAAAAUACACCUCUCGCUUCGGGGUUCGAGCUUAUCAUGAGUCUCGCGUCUCACGAAAGCCUCGCAACCCCAAAUCUUGAUGUGGUCUAGUUUAGGUACUUUACCAGUCCACAUCUCGUGAGGAGUUUUGGCAACUUUCUUUGUAGGGACUAGAUUAAGGAUAUGGGCGGCAGUCUCUAAGGCAUACCCCCAGAAUGAGAUUGGUAGCGUAGCUCGACUCAUCAUGGAACGAACCAUAUCUAACAAGGUUCGAUUACGCCUCUCAGCCACACCAUUCAACUGUGGUGUCCUGGGAGGUGUCAAUUGUGAGACUAUCCCACAUUCCCUUAGAUAGUCGAGGAACUCUGAACUAAGAUACUCACCACCACGAUCGGAUCGAAGCAUCUUAAUGUUCCUGCCCAAUUGAUUCUCGACUUCCUGUUUAAAUUCCUUAAACCUCUCGAAAGUCUCUGACUUAUGCUUGAUCAAGUAGACAUAUCCAUAUCUACUAUAAUCAUCAGUAAAAGUCAAAUAAUAACGAUUAGCAUCCCUUGUGGCAUGUUUGAAUGGUCCACACACAUCCGUGUGUAUAAGGUCCAACAAACCUUCACCCCUCUCACACGAACCUGUGAAGGGUGACUUUGUCAUUUUUCCAAGUAAGCAUGAUUCGCAACUAUCAUCUGACUUUAGGUCAAACGACUCCAAGACUCCAUCCUUUUGGAGUUGGCCUAUGCGUUUCUUGCUUAUAUGUCCAAGACGACAAUGCCAUAAAGAUGCUUUAUCCAAGUUAUUAUUAGUAGAAUCAAUACACAAAACAUUAUUUCCCAAGUUAUCUACAACAGAUACAGCUUCAUACACACCAUCACAAGGUAAUGCUUUAAAAUAAAAGACAUUAUUAUAGAAAACAUCUAUAGAACCAACUUCAUUAUUAAAUGAAAAGGUAAACCCUUGUUUGUACAAAGCAUGAAAGGAAAUAAUAUUUCUUGCCAUUCCUGGCGAAUAACAACACUUAUUCAAAUCUAAACUAAACCCACUACUUAGCGAUAAAGUAUAAACUCCAAUCUUGGUAACAGGUAUAGCUUUCCUAUUCCCCAUGAUCAAGUUUAUCCUUCCUUGCUCCACAUCCUCACUUCUUCUUAGUCCCUGCAAGUCACAACAAAUGUGAAUACCACACCCGGUAUCAAGGACCCAAGAAUUAGAAUGGGGUGAGUUAUUAGAAAUGAUAGUGUAAAUACCUGCAUGGUUGGGUUUAACUUUCCCAUCCUUCACAUCUUGCUGGUAUUUUGGGCAGUUCCGCUUCCAAUGAGCUUUUUCAUGGCAAUAGAAGCAUUCAGCCUCUUUUGGGUCAGAAGAAGGAGUAAUGAAACCUUUCUUGGUUCCACUUGAAGAAGAGCCAUCAAGGGUCCGAGCCUUGGUACCCUUAGAAGAGCUCUUUCUCUUCCUCCCUCGACUUUUCCCGAUUGCCAAAACCGGAGUAGAGUUUUGAGUAGGAGUGAUAGCAACCGACUUCCCCUUAAGACCUGAUUCUGCGGUCUUGAGAAGUCCCUGAAGUUUGCUGAGGGUGACUUCUUCCUUGUUCAUGUGAUAUGUCAUGCGGAAUUGAUCAUAGCACGAUGGUAAGGAAUGCAAAAUAAUAUCUAUUGCAAGAUCCUCCGGGAAGUUCACAUUAAGCUUCAGCAAACGAUCCACAUACCUUUGCAUUUUCUGCAUGUGGCUCGUGACGGAUUCCCCGUCCUUCAUCAUGGUUGUUAUCAUGGAGCAGAUGAUUUCAUACCUCUCUUGUCUUGCACUUUGAUGGUAUCUUUCCAUCAAAUCUUGGUGCAUUUCAUAAGGGUAGAAAUCCUCAUAAGACUUUUGGAGUUCCGUUGUCAUUGUGGCCAUCAUGAUGCAUGCCACUUUUGUAGCAAGCCUUUCAUGUGCAUGAAAGUCAGCAAUCUCCUGUGGAGUUGCAGUGGUCUCAUCAAACUCCUUAAGCUCCUUGUCAAGGACAUAUUCUUUGUCCUCGUAGCGGGUAAUCAUCCUGAUGUUUCUGAUCCACUCAUUGAAGUUGGAUCCAUCAAAGGUGACUUUCCCACACAAGUUCAUAAGGGUAAAGGAGCCAUUAGGAUUAGAGCCAGAAGCAUUGUUGAAAGACAUCUGAAGGAAAGAGGACAAGAUUAGUUUAGAUAUAAGAGAGUCCUUAAUAAAACACCCAAAUGUAAUAUUAAGGCUAGGAUCCAAUCACAAUAUAAUAUAACUUAGAAGAGGUAUGCCGUAAUCUAAGCUAUAUCAUAUUUGAAAGGUAGGUGAAUGACGAUUCACCAAUUUCCACCACGAAAACCGCAAUAUUUUAGUAUUAGGUUUUUGAAUGGUUCUUAGAAAUUCCUAGAUUCUUUGAGAUUCAAUGAACUUUUCAAAGGCAUGUUUCAAUCUCGAGUGUGCCCUCCAAGUUUUGUGACUGGGAUACCGAGGAUCACAAAACGAGGUGUGAAGUAACCAUGCAAAUCACUUGGUACCCUUAAAGUUUAUCACUCAAUCGAUGUGCCGGUUAACCACACACGCUCCAUCGAUACUAUAAUAAACCCUAAGUCACCCUUUACCUACCUUGUUAAGUCCAAGUUAGUGUGCCGGUUAACCACACACGCUCCACCAACGACUUAAUCAAAGUGUAAAGUGUAAUUUCAUGGAAUAGCACCUUAUUCACAUUUUUCCUAAAGUAACUAAGAUUGGGAAUUUAAUAAAACAUUUAGUUACUUUAUAAUAUUCAUCAUACUUUGAAUGAGAAUUAAUAAGUCCUUGUCUUACCCGUUCGGCUAACGACCCUCCACCGAUCAAGCAAGCGGUGGGUGAGAGUGGACACCCAUUAAGUCACCAUUUUAUAGGCAACAACCUUAUACCCACCUUAUAGACCGGCUUCGUGAAUGAGGCGUACUAGCGGUAAGACGACUUUGUUCUUAUACAUAUAUAUAUAAUUAUUAAAUCAUAAUAAUAUAAGUAUAAGGGUUGAAUUUUAACUUUUAAAAUUCUAGGGGUUGGAACUAAAGUUUUAACUUAACUUUACUUGUUCCAAAACUUGAGGGCAAGUUUUGUAAACUUUCAAAACUUUUCAUUUCUUGUAACUUAUGAGUUUAAUAGAGUAAUAAAAUGAGGACUUUUCAUUUUUCCUAACUCUUGUGUUCUUUUAAUGGUUUUUAAUCCAAGAGACUUUUGGUUUUCCAUAACUUGAGGACAAGUUAUGGACUCCAUUAAAACACAUUAUGAUCAUGAAUUAAUCUACCACAUAGGUUACAAAUAAUUCCUAUGAUCAUCUAAACAUCAUAAGAACAAGAAUAUGAAUAUGAACACUUUCAAGAAUCAAAAUCACAUUUAAUCUUUGUAAUUUUGAUAACUAGUUGUUGUAAAUGAGUUAGAAAAGACAUUACACCUUCUAAAAUAAGUUUUCAAGUACCAAAACAUUUUAGGGUAAUGAUUCUAAUCCAUUUCCAGCAACUCAAGUCGAAAUUCUGCACUCUGUCGACCCUACUCGCCGAGUGCAUAAACCUACUCGCCGAGUAGGUUGAAGAUACACAUGAACUCGACGAGUCCUCCCCAUGGACUCGCCGAGUCCAUCAGUCAGACAGCAAGAUUUUCGACUUUCUUCAACUUUUAAGCACAAAUAACAAACAAACAAGCCUAGGCUCUGAUACCACUGAUGGGUUUUGAGCAUUCUAACACUUCCUAAGUGUACAUGCAACCCUAAUAACCUUGGAUCUAUGUUUGUCUAAUUAUCAUGCAAAGUUGAAUUCCAAGGUUAUAUUCCUAUCUAGCAUACAUGGGGAACAAUUUUAACUUGAAUCAUAGAUAGAAUAACUUACCUUGUUGUUGCUUGUGUUCCUUGAAACCUUGUGAGCCUAGCACCCCAAGUGUGAUGCCUCAAAUGCUUCACACAACACCAAAUGCUCUUGGAAAGACUCUUGAGAUAACACACACUUCUCAAAAUCGGCCAAGCCCUCUAGUUUCUUAGUGUAGCCGAUUUUGGUGGAGAAUAUGAUUCUUAUAUAGUGUUGACACAUCUAGGGUUACACCAUGUAAACCCUAAUGUGUCAUGACUCUUCAUUUCCAUGACCCAUGGGUUUGUAACUCCCAUGGAGCAUCCAUGGAGCAUCCUAUGGGUAGAACCCAACUUGAUAAUCCAUGGAGCCUCUUAGCCCACUAUACAAGAUAUGGAUGAUUUACAUAAUCAACCCAUAUAUUUAAUUAGUUAUCCUUUGAUCACUUAAUUAAUUCCAAAUUAAUUCUUUGAUCAACUAAUCAAAUAAUAUUAUUAAUAUAUUAGAACUUAUAAUAUAUUAAUAAUCUCCAAGUGUUAUUUCUCUCAUUUAGUCUAUCCAAUUGCAUGGUGCCAUGCAACCCAAAUGGACCAUGCCGGGUCGGGUCAAGUACAAGCCCGAAAUAGUUAUGGACUUAGACACCUUAUCCAACAGUCUCCCACUUGGAUAAGUCUAAUAACUAUAUCUCUAGUACUUCAGGAACCGACCGGCAAUCGUAGCUCUUUCAAGGUCUCUCGGAACUGAGAAGAUGAUGGUACGCCAUUUAAGAUAAGUGAUCAUAUAAUCCUCCGUUCUAGAUAUCAGCCGGACAAAUACAUGGAACAUUGUCUUGCUUAUUGUCCAGCAUUUGUUUCCCGAUUUCCGAUUUGUUUGACAUAGAACUUAAUUGAACACAUCAACUUAGUUCUGACCGGGCCCGGUACAUGGGUCAAAACAAAAUCAUCGAGGGGCCCAGAUAUCAGCUUCUAAUCCAAGAAGGAACAGAUAAACUUCGACUCAUAUGUUUGUUCUACCACUCAUUGAAUUACACACAAAAGUACGUUUUAUAACAUCGAGUUACCAAUGCGGUUUCGUACAGUCAAUGCAUAACCAACUUGUAAGUAACAAAUCAUAUCUCUAGGUUUGAAGACUUAUAUGAUAUUACCGUCUCACGAUCACUCGAGAUAGAAUUCCAUGAAGUGAUUCCAGUGAGCGUGGGUUGAGUCCAAUGCUCAGAACUUAUGAGCACUCAUGAUUGUUGUAGCCUUGUCCAACACCUUAGACCUCUACAACCCAUCAUGACAGUCUUGAUUCAUACCUACUUCCGACAUAUGACCGACUGUGGAGGUUUGAAUAAUAUGUUACACCAAACAAAAUUAUUCUGGAAGUCAAAACAUGCAAAAGAAAUAUAGUAAACGAUUGACAAGAGAUAGCAACACUUUACUCAUAAAUAAAACACCUUUUAUUCAUCAUCAAAUGUCAAUUACACUUUACAAAUUUCUGGGUUAUCUAACUACUAAAACUUAUAUCAUCCUUCAGCCCUAUGCUCCGAGCAUGCUGGAGAUGCUUAACCCUACUCAGUCCCUUCGUGAGGGGAUCUGCUGGGUUCUCAUCCGAUGAUACCCUCUUUGCCACGAGGAGUCCUUCUUCGAUCCGAUGUCUAAUGAAAUGGUAUUUUCUGUCGAUGUGUCUGGAUCUCCCAUGAUCCCUUGGUUCCUUGGCUAAGGCAACAGCACUUUCACUAUCACAGAAAAUUUCCAUUGGCUCUUUAAUAGCUGGUACAACUCCAAGGUCUCCAAUGAAGUUCUUCAGCCAUAUCGCCUCCUUUGCUGCUUCGCUAGCUGCAAUAUACUCUGAUUCACAAGUAGAAUCUGCCACUGUCUCUUGCUUGGAACUCUUCCAAGAAAUUGCUCCUCCGUUUAGGGUAAAGACCCAGCCCGACUGAGAGCGGAAAUUAUCCCUAUCAGUCUGGAAGCUAGCAUCACUAUACCCUACAACUCUCAAGUCAUCACUCCCACCGAGGGUAAGGACCCAGUCCUUAGUCCUCCGUAGGUACUUGAGGAUAUUCUUUACCGCAGUCCAGUGUGCCUUGCCAGGGUUCGCCUGAUACCUGCUAACCAUGCUCAAGGCAAAAGCUACAUCGGGUCGAGUACACGUCAUAGCAUACAUGAUCGAUCCUACAGCCGAAGCGUAAGGUGUUCGACUCAUUUCUGCUAUCUCAGCCUCAGUGCUAGGGCUUUGUGUCUUACUCAAUCUGGUGUUACUCUGGAUGGGUAACUCUCCUUUCUUGGAAUCCUGCAUGCUGAAUCUCUUCAGCACUUUAUCCAAGUAGGUACUCUGACUAAGUCCAAUUAGUCUUUUACUCCGAUCUCUCAAGAUCCUUAUCCCUAGAAUAUAGGCAGCUUCACCAAGGUCCUUCAUAGCGAAACACUUCCCAAGCCAGGACUUUACUUCCUGCAGGGUUGGAAUGUCGUUUCCUAUGAGUAGUAUGUCAUCCACAUACAAUACCAAAAAGCUAACUAUACUCCCACUAGCCUUGACAUACACACAAGAUUCAUCUUCACUCCUAGAAAAGCCAAAUUCCUUGACCUUUUCAUCAAAGCAAAGAUUCCAUCUGCGAGGUGCUUGCUUCAAUCCAUAAAUGGAUUUCUCAAGCUUACACACUCUAUUAGGGUACUCGUUGCUGACAAAACCCUCUGGCUGACUCAUGUAAACAUCUUCAGCCAACUUUCCAUUAAGGAAAGCGGUUUUGACAUCCAUUUGCCAUAUUUCAUAGUCAUGAAAUGCAGCUAUGGCUAACAGAACCCGAAUAGACUUAAUCUUGGCUACUGGAGAAAAGGUCUCAUCAUAGUCCACUCCAGGAAUUUGAGAGAAGCCCUUUGCAACCAGUCUAGCCUUAUAAGUGUGUACUUUACCAUCCAUGUCGGUCUUCUUCUUGAAGACCCAUUUGCACCCUACAGUCUUACGACCAGGUACAUUCUCAACCAAGUUCCAAACUUGAUUGUCAUACAUGGAUUGUAUCUCGCUAUCCAUGGCCUCUUUCCAUUUAGCAGCCUCAGGGCCUGCCAUGGCUUCCGUGUAGCUGUUAGGUUCAUCCAGACCUACUAGUGUCUCAUCACUAAUAAGUGUCUCACCUUCCGCAGUAAUAUGGAAACCAUAGUAAUGCUCAGGUGCAUUCCUAACUCUCGUGGAACGCCUCAGAGGUACAGGCUCGUCAACUGGCUCAACAGGAGUUUCCUCCUCAAGUUGAGGGCUAGUGUUUGAAGUUCCUUCACCGCUUGAUUCUUGAAUUUCUUCAAGAUCAAUUUGCCUCCCACUGUCUCCUUGGCUUAUAAAUUCUCUCUCUCGAAAGACUCCUCUUCUUGCUACAAAGACCACAUUGUCACUAGGUCUGUAGAAGAGGUAACCAAAGGAUCGCUGUGGGUAACCGAUGAAAAUACACCUCUCGCUUCGAGGUUCGAGCUUAUCAUGAGUCUCGCGUCUCACGAAAGCCUCGCAACCCCAAAUCUUGAUGUGGUCUAGUUUAGGUACUUUACCAGUCCACAUCUCGUGAGGAGUUUUGGCAACUUUCUUUGUAGGGACUAGAUUAAGGAUAUGGGCGGCAGUCUCUAAGGCAUACCCCCAAAAUGAGAUUGGUAGCGAAGCUCGACUCAUCAUGGAAUGAACCAUAUCCAACAAGGUUCGAUUACGCCUCUCAGCCACACCAUUCAACUGUGGUGUCCUGGGAGGUGUCAAUUGUGAGACUAUCCCACAUUCCCUUAGAUAGUCAAGGAACUCUGAACUAAGAUACUCACCACCACGAUCGG
rnacentral:lncRNA from 1 species